rnacentral:rRNA from 1 species
AUGGCCACCUCGCCUUCUUCCUCCACGUCGGUCGGCGGAUCGCCUUUUUCCUCGUCCCCGCCGUUCAGUCGCACGGCCACCUCGCCUUCUACCUCCACGCUGGUCGGCGAAUCGUCUUCCUCCCCGCCGGUCAAGUUAGUCGCCACUAAAGAAAAUACGUCGGUUUUGACGGAAAAACCGAGGAGGAAGGGUCGACGAAAUAGAAGAGACACUCCCACCGCCGUCAUGUUCCCGCCGGGAUCUGUUGAGGGCAGGCAGCAGCCACAAGAGAGGAGGUCAUCCCUGCCGGUAAAGAUCAGAUAUUCUAAUACAAAGCAGAGGAUGGCACUCUCCCUGUCUCAGCCGGUGGAUCAGGUCGGAGGCAGAUUCUCUGCACUUGUGGAUUUGCCUGAUGAGGAAAAGUCAUCUUCCGAUGAGGGUUCAGAGACUUAUGACACAGACCAUGUUUUGGCCUGGAGAGAUCCCGGUUUGCCUACACCAGUUUAUGUCAGAAUGGAUAGUUCAGGAGUUUAUUACACAUAUCCUACUCUGGGUGAUAAGCCAUUGCAGAGUCUUGAAGAAGUUGCAAGUGCUGUUGAUUCCUAUGCUCGUCCCAAUAGCAAUGCCAUGUCUGAUAAGGAGCUUUCAGAGAAGGACCGUGCUGUACGUGAACGUCUUUACUUUCCAGAUGGCACCCCGAAGGUCUACACAAGGGCUAAAGUAGUGGAGAGGGAACGUGACAUACUUCGGAGACUGGUUGAAGCUUUACUGGACAAGCGGAAUGACGAUGAGGAUCGUGUGUAUGAACUCGAAAAAUUGUUCAUUGGCAAUCAAUCUGCGAAGGUGUCGAAUGGUACUAUCAUCUCAAUAUCACUGUGA